rnacentral:rRNA from 1 species
AUUGAACGCUGGCGGCAGGCCUAACACAUGCAAGUCGAACGAGUGGCGGACGGGUGAGUACUGUCUGGGAAACUGCCUGUUGGAGGGGGAUAACUACUGGAAACGGUAGCUAAUACCGCAUACAAUCCGAUGUGCCCAGAUGGGAUUAGCUAGGAGGGGGGGUAACGGCGCACCUAGGCGACGAUCCCUAGCUGGUCUGAGAGGAUGACCAGCCACACUGGAACUAAAACACGGUCCAGACUCCUACGGGAGGCAGCAGUGGAGAAUAUUGCACAAGGGGCGCAAGCCUGAUGCAGCCAUGCCGCUUGUGUGAAGAAGGCCUUCGGGUUGUAAAGCACUGUCAGCGGGGAGGCGUUACCCGCAGAAGAAGCACCGGCUAACGCCGUGCCAGCAGCCGCGGUAAUUC